rnacentral:rRNA from 1 species
AGCGUACACGGUGGAUGCCCUGGCAGUCAGAGGCGAUGAAGGGCGUGCUAAUCUGCGAUAAGCGCCGGUAAGGUGAUAUGAACCGUUAUAACCGGCGAUACCCGAAUGGGGAAACCCAGUGUGAUUCGUCACACUAUCAUUAACUGAAUCCAUAGGUUAAUGAGGCGAACCGGGGGAACUGAAACAUCUAAGUACCCCGAGGAAAAGAAAUCAACCGAGAUUCCCCCAGUAGCGGCGAGCGAACGGGGAGGAGCCCAGAGCCUGAAUCAGCAUGUGUGUUAGUGGAAGCGUCUGGAAAGGCGCGCGAUACAGGGUGACAGCCCCGUACACAAAAGCGCAUGUGCUGUGAGCUCGAUGAGUAGGGCGGGACACGUGGUAUCCUGUCUGAAUAUGGGGGGACCAUCCUCCAAGGCUAAAUACUCCUGACUGACCGAUAGUGAACCAGUACCGUGAGGGAAAGGCGAAAAGAACCCCGGCGAGGGGAGUGAAAAAGAACCUGAAACCGUGUACGUACAAGCAGUGGGAGCMCAGGUUUACCUGUGUGACUGCGUACCUUUUGUAUAAUGGGUCAGCGACUUAUAUUCUGUAGCAAGGUUAACCGUAUAGGGGAGCCGUAGGGAAACCGAGUCUUAACCGGGCGUUAAGUUGCAGGGUAUAGACCCGAAACCCGGUGAUCUAGCCAUGGGCAGGUUGAAGGUUGGGUAACACUAACUGGAGGACCGAACCGACUAAUGUUGAAAAAUUAGCGGAUGACCUGUGGCUGGGGGUGAAAGGCCAAUCAAACCGGGAGAUAGCUGGUUCUCCCCGAAAGCUAUUUAGGUAGCGCCUCGUGAAUUCAUCUCCGGGGGUAGAGCACUGUUUCGGCUAGGGGGCCAUCCCGGCUUACCAACCCGAUGCAAACUGCGAAUACCGGAGAAUGUUAUCACGGGAGACACACGGCGGGUGCUAACGUCCGUCGUGAAGAGGGAAACAACCCAGACCGCCAGCUAAGGUCCCAAAGUCAUGGUUAAGUGGGAAACGAUGUGGGAAGGCCCAGACAGCCAGGAUGUUGGCUUAGAAGCAGCCAUCAUUUAAAGAAAGCGUAAUAGCUCACUGGUCGAGUCGGCCUGCGCGGAAGAUGUAACGGGGCUAAACCAUGCACCGAAGCUGCGGCAGCGAACGUAUCACUUAAAGCGAUUCAGCGGGUUACGAUUGACGGAGCGAAGCGACGUCAAAGCGUAUACAAAGUCGAGUCGGUUUAAGGAUACGUUCGUUGGGUAGGGGAGCGUUCUGUAAGCCCGUGAAGGUGGCCUGUGAGGGUUGCUGGAGGUAUCAGAAGUGCGAAUGCUGACAUAAGUAACGAUAAAGCGGGUGAAAAGCCCGCUCGCCGGAAGACCAAGGGUUCCUGUCCAACGUUAAUCGGGGCAGGGUGAGUCGACCCCUAAGGCGAGGCCGAAAGGCGUAGUCGAUGGGAAACGGGUUAAUAUUCCCGUACUUGGUGUUACUGCGAAGGGGGGACGGAGAAGGCUAUGUUGGCCGGGCGACGGUUGUCCCGGUUUAAGCGUGUAGGUGUGUGUUCCAGGUAAAUCCGGUUCACUUUAACACUGAGGCGUGACGACGAGGCACUACGGUGCUGAAGCAACAAAUGCCCUGCUUCCAGGAAAAGCCUCUAAGCAUCAGGUAACACGAAAUCGUACCCCAAACCGACACAGGUGGUCAGGUAGAGAAUACCAAGGCGCUUGAGAGAACUCGGGUGAAGGAACUAGGCAAAAUGGUGCCGUAACUUCGGGAGAAGGCACGCUGACACGUAGGUGAAGUGAUUUACUCAUGGAGCUGAAGUCAGUCGAAGAUACCAGCUGGCUGCAACUGUUUAUUAAAAACACAGCACUGUGCAAACACGAAAGUGGACGUAUACGGUGUGACGCCUGCCCGGUGCCGGAAGGUUAAUUGAUGGGGUCAGCGUAAGCGAAGCUCCUGAUCGAAGCCCCGGUAAACGGCGGCCGUAACUAUAACGGUCCUAAGGUAGCGAAAUUCCUUGUCGGGUAAGUUCCGACCUGCACGAAUGGCGUAAUGAUGGCCAGGCUGUCUCCACCCGAGACUCAGUGAAAUUGAACUCGCUGUGAAGAUGCAGUGUACCCGCGGCAAGACGGAAAGACCCCGUGAACCUUUACUAUAGCUUGACACUGAACAUUGAGCCUUGAUGUGUAGGAUAGGUGGGAGGCUUUGAAGUGUGGACGCCAGUCUGCAUGGAGCCGACCUUGAAAUACCACCCUUUAAUGUUUGAUGUUCUAACGUGGACCCGUAAUCCGGGUUGCGGACAGUGUCUGGUGGGUAGUUUGACUGGGGCGGUCUCCUCCUAAAGAGUAACGGAGGAGCACGAAGGUUGGCUAAUCCUGGUCGGACAUCAGGAGGUUAGUGCAAUGGCAUAAGCCAGCUUGACUGCGAGCGUGACGGCGCGAGCAGGUGCGAAAGCAGGUCAUAGUGAUCCGGUGGUUCUGAAUGGAAGGGCCAUCGCUCAACGGAUAAAAGGUACUCCGGGGAUAACAGGCUGAUACCGCCCAAGAGUUCAUAUCGACGGCGGUGUUUGGCACCUCGAUGUCGGCUCAUCACAUCCUGGGGCUGAAGUAGGUCCCAAGGGUAUGGCUGUUCGCCAUUUAAAGUGGUACGCGAGCUGGGUUUAGAACGUCGUGAGACAGUUCGGUCCCUAUCUGCCGUGGGCGCUGGAGAACUGAGGGGGGCUGCUCCUAGUACGAGAGGACCGGAGUGGACGCAUCACUGGUGUUCGGGUUGUCAUGCCAAUGGCACUGCCCGGUAGCUAAAUGCGGAAGAGAUAAGUGCUGAAAGCAUCUAAGCACGAAACUUGCCCCGAGAUGAGUUCU